CAGCCGCCGCGGUAAUACGAAGGGUGCAAGCGUUACUCGGAAUUACUGGGCGUAAAGCGUGCGUAGGUGGUGGUUUAAGUCCGUUGUGAAAGCCCUGGGCUCAACCUGGGAAUUGCAGUGGAUACUGGGUCACUAGAGUGUGGUAGAGGAUAGUGGAAUUUCCGGUGUAGCAGUGAAAUGCGUAGAGAUCGGAAGGAACAUCUGUGGCGAAGGCGACUAUCUGGACCAACACUGACACUGAGGCACGAAAGCGUGGGGAGCAAACAGGAUUAGAUACCCCCGUAGUCCCUGUCUCUUAUAC
rnacentral:rRNA from 1 species